CCGGGAGGGGAGUGAAAGAGAACCUGAAACCCUAUGUUUACAAACGGACUGAGCACUAUUAGAGAGUGCGAAGUUGUACUUAUUGAAGAACGGGCCAGCGAGUUACGUUUAUGCAGCGAGGUUAAGGUAUUAAGUACCGGAGCCGCAGGGAAACCGAGUCUGAAUAGGGCUAAAGUUGCAUGAAGUAGACCCGAAACCGGGUGACCUAUCCAUGAGCAGGUUGAAGCGAUGGUAAGACAUCGUGGAGGACCGAACCUGUGUGCGUUGAAAAGUAUAGGGAUGACUUGUGGAUAGCGGAGAAAUUCCAAUCGAACUCGGAAAUAGCUGGUUCUCCUCGAAAUAGCUUUAGGGCUAGCCUCACUAAAGAAAUGUAUGCAGGUAGAGCACUGAAUUGGCUAGGGGGCCACAAAGCUUACCGAACCUUAUCAAACUUCGAAUGGCAUACAUGGAUGAGUGGGAGUCAGACAGUGGGAGCUAAGUUUCAUUGUCAAAAGGGAAACAGCCCAGAUCAUCAGCUAAGGUCCCAAAGUAUAGGUUAAGUGGCAAAGGAUGUGAGAAUGCUAAGACAACCAGGAUGUUGGCUUAGAAGCAGCCACUCAUUUAAAGAGUGCGUAAUAGCUCACUGGUCGAGUGAUCUUGCGCCGAAAAUGUCCGGGGCUAAACCUAUCACCGAAGCUAUGGAUUUACAUCGGAUGAUGUAAGUGGUAGAGGAGCAUCGUAUGCGGGCUGAAGCCGUACCGAGAGGAGCGGUGGACUGCAUAGGAGAGAGAAUGCUGGCAUGAGUAACGAGAGGGUGGUGAGAAUCCACCCCAUCGAAAGCCUAAGGUUUCCUGGGGAAGGUUCGUCCGCCCAGGGUAAGUCGGGGCCUAAGCCGAGGACUAGAUGGUCGUAGGCGAUGGACAACAGGUUGAUAUUCCUGUACUACCCGAAGCGUCUGAGAGAAGCAGUGACACAGAAGGAUAGGUCAAGCGGGUUGAUGGUAGAGCCCGUCCAAGCACUGAGGCUGUGGAGAUAGUGAAGUACGUUUCCACUGAGGCUGGGGUGUGAUGGGGACAGAACAUAAGUAUGGAAGUGACUGAAUUCACGCUGGCGAGAAAAGCUGCUAUCGAGCAGAAGGGUACCCGUACCGCAAACCGACACAGGUAGGCGAGGAGAGAAUCCUAAGAUGAGCGAGAUAACCCUUGUUAAGGAACUCGGCAAAAUGACUCCGUAACUUCGGGAGAAGGAGUGCCACGAAAGUGGUUGCAGUGAAGAGGCCCAUGCGACUGUUUAUCAAAAACACAGGUCUGUGCUAAAUCGAGAGAUGAUGUAUACGGGCUGACGCCUGCCCAGUGCUGGAAGGUUAAGGGGAACUGUUAGCGCAAGCGAAGCAGUGAACCGAAGCCCCAGUGAACGGCGGCCGUAACUAUAACGGUCCUAAGGUAGCGAAAUUCCUUGUCGGGUAAGUUCCGACCCGCACGAAUGGCGUAACGAUAUGGGCGCUGUCUCAACAAGGGACUCGGUGAAAUUGUAGGGCUGGUAAAGAUGCCAGCGACCCGCGACUAGACGGAAAGACCCCGUAGAGCUUUACUGUAGCUUGGUAUUGAGUUUUGACAUUGGAUGUACAGGAUAGGUGGGAGACUGAGAAGUGAUGGCGUCAGCUGUCAUGGAGUCGCCGGUGGGAUACCACUCUUCUGAUGUUGGAAUUCUAACAACGACCCGUGAACCGGGCGUUGGACAGUGCCAGGUGGGCAGUUUGACUGGGGCGGUCACCUCCGAAAGAGUAACGGAGGUGCCCAAAGGUCUCCUCAGCAUGGUCGGAAAUCAUGUGUUAGAGUGUAAAGGCAUAAGGAGGCCUGACUGCGAGACUGACAAGUCGAGCAGAGACGAAAGUCGGGCUUAGUGAUCCGGUGGUUUCGAGUGGAAGAGCCAUCGCUAA
rnacentral:rRNA from 1 species